UGUGUUUGGAGGCGGGACUGCAGACCGCUGAGUGUCCAAUGGAAACUGUGGACAGUUUUACACCGUCCAAUCAGCAACAAGAACAGCAGGUCCGGCUCACAUGUCUCGGAUGUCUCGGAGGAGAACCGGGUCACAUUAAUCACAUCAUGG